rnacentral:misc_RNA from 1 species
AAGGAUCAUUACUGAAUUAAUUGAUUGUGCUGGCUUUGCAAGUGCACGUCUUAAUCCAAUUUACCCCCUGUGAACAUUAGACUUGACUCUUGGAAACAAGAGAAGAGUAUUUAUUACACUCUUUAGAAUGUAUGUGAUUUAUUGUAUUGUGCUUUAAUGCACUAUUAAUAACAACUUUCAACAACGGAUCUCUUGGCUCUC